UAGGGAAUAUUAGAAAUGGACGAAAGUCUGAUCUAGCCACACCGCGUGUGCGAAGAAGGCCUUCGGGUCGUAAAGCACUUUUUGGAAGGAAUAGGAAGGAAUGUACUUCCAGAAUAAGUCUCGGCUAACUACGUGCCAGCAGCCGCGGUAACACGUAGGAGGCGAACGUUAUCCGGAUUUACUGGGCGUAAAGCGCGGGUAGGUGGUUCUGUAAGUAGGGCGUGAAAGCUCCUGGCUCAACUGGGAGAGGCCGUUCUAAACUACAGAACUAGAGGAUGGUAGAGGGAGGUGGAAUUCCAGGUGUAGCGGUGGAAUGCGCAGAUAUCUGGAGGAACACCAGUGGCGAAGGCGGCCUCCUGGACCAUUCCUGACACUCAGACGCGAAAGCUAGGGUAGCAAACG
rnacentral:rRNA from 1 species